GGCGAACGCUGGCGGCGUGCUUAACACAUGCAAGUCGAACGGAAAGGCCCUGCUUUUGUGGGGUGCUCGAGUGGCGAACGGGUGAGUAACACGUGAGUAACCUGCCCUUGACUUUGGGAUAACUUCAGGAAACUGGGGCUAAUAACGGAUAGGAGCUCCUGCUGCAUGGUGGGGGUUGGAAAGUUUCGGCGGUUGGGGAUGGACUCGCGGCUUAUCAGCUUGUUGGUGGGGUAGUGGCUUACCAAGGCUUUGACGGGUAGCCGGCCUGAGAGGGUGACCGGCCACAUUGGGACUGAGAUACGGCCCAGACGCCUACGGGAGGCAGCAGUGGGGAAUAUUGCACAAUGGGCGGAAGCCUGAUGCAGCAACGCCGCGUGCGGGAUGACGGCCUUCGGGUUGUAAACCGCUUUCGCCUGUGACGAAGCGUGAGUGACGGUAAUGGGUAAAGAAGCACCGGCUAACUACGUG
rnacentral:rRNA from 1 species